rnacentral:rRNA from 1 species
UACAGGGGGGUGCAAACGUUGCUCGGAAUUAUUGGGCGUAAAGCGCACGUAGGCGGUUCGUUAUGUCAGAUGUGAAAGCCCUUGGCUCAACUGAGGAAGUGCAUCUGAAACUGGCGAGCUAGAGUAUGUAAGAGGGUCGCGGAAUUCCCGGUGUAGUGGUGAAAUUCGUAAAUAUCGGGAGGAACACCGGUGGCGAAGGCGGCGACCUGGGACAAUACUGACGCUGAGGUGCGAAAAGCGUGGGGAGCAAACAGGG